rnacentral:rRNA from 1 species
AGAGUUGAUCAUGGCUCAGGAUGAACGCUAGCUACAGGCUAACACAUGCAAGUCGAGGGGCAGCAUGAUCGAAGCUUGCUUUGAUGAUGGCGACCGGCGCACGGGUGAGUAACGCGUAUCCAACCUUCCCUAUAGUAGAGAAUAGCCCGGCGAAAGUCGGAUUAAUGCUCUAUGUUGUAUUUAGAAGACAUCUGAAGAAUACCAAAGGUUUACCGCUAUAGGAUGGGGAUGCGUCUGAUUAGGUAGUAGGCGGGGUAACGGCCCACCUAGCCGACGAUCAGUAGGGGUUCUGAGAGGAAGGUCCCCCACAUUGGAACUGAGACACGGUCCAAACUCCUACGGGAGGCAGCAGUGAGGAAUAUUGGUCAAUGGACGGAGGUCUGAACCAGCCAAGUAAGCGUGCAGGAUGACGGCCCUAUGGGUUGUAAACUGCUUUUAUAUAGGGAUAAAGUCGGGGACGUGUCCCCGUUUGUAGGUACUAUAUGAAUAAGGACCGGCUAAUUCCGUGCCAGCCGCCGC